CCUACGGGUGGCAGCAGUGGGGAAUAUUCGGCAAUGGGCGCAAGCCUGACCCAGCAACGCCGCGUGAAGGAAGAAGGCUUUCGGGUUGUAAAGUUCUUUUCUCAGGGACGAAGAAAGUGACGGUACCUGAGUAAUAAGCCACGGCUAACUUCUUGCCAACAGCAGCGGUAAUACGUAGGGGGCAAGCGUUAUCCGGAUUUAAUGGGUGUAAAGGGCGUGUAGGCGGGGAAGAAAGUCAGAUGUGAAAACCACGGGCUCAACCUGUGGCUUGAAUUUGAAACUGUUUUUCUUGAGUACUGGAGAGGCAGACGGAAUUCCUGGUGGAGCGGUGAAAUGCGUAGAGAUUAGGAGGAACACCAGUGGCGAAGGCGGUCUGCUGGACAGCAACUGACGCUGAGGCGCGAAAGCGUGGGGAGCAAACAGGAUUAGAUACCCGAGUAGUC
rnacentral:rRNA from 1 species